rnacentral:rRNA from 1 species
GCAUGGCUAAAACAUGCAAGUCGAACGCGAAAGUCCUUCGGGGCGAGUAGAGCGGCGAAAGGGCGAGUAAUGCGUUCCUACGUGCCCCUUGGUCAGGGAUAGACCGGGGAAACCCGGAGUAAUACUUGAUGUGGUCUUCGGAUCAAAGAUUUACCGCUGGGGGAGCGGGGAACAUCCUAUCAGGUUGUUGGUGAGGUAACGGCUCACCAAGCCAAAGACGGGUAGCGGGUGUGAGAGCAUGACCCGCCGCAUCGGGACUGAGACACUGCCCGGACUCCUACGGGAGGCUGCAGUAACGAAUAUUCCGCAAUGGACGAAAGUCUGACGGAGCAAUGCCGCGUGCAGGAUGAAUCCCUUCGGGGUGUAAACUGCUGUCAGGGUUUAGGAACACAAUGCCAGACCCAAAGGAAGGGCCGGCUAACUUCGUGCCAGCAGCCGCGGUAAUACGAAGGGCCCGAGCGUUAAUCGGAAUCACUGGGCUUAAAGCGUACGUAGGCGGACAUGUAGGUACUUUGUGAAAUCCCACCGCUCAACGGUGGAACUGCUGGGUAUACCGCAUGUCUUGAGACAGGUAGGGGUCGUCGGAACGAUAGGUGGAGUGGUGAAAUGCGUUGAUAUCUAUCGGAACGCCGAAGGAGAAGUCAGGCGACUGGGCCUGUUCUGACGCUGAGGUACGAAAGCGUGGGUAGCGAACGGGAUUAGAUACCCCGGUAGUCCACGCCGUAAACGAUGUGCACUAGGUUGGGGACGUACUGACACGUUUCCUGGCCGAAGCGAAAGUGUUAAGUGCACCGCCUGGGGAGUACGGUCGCAAGGCUAAAACUCAAAGGAAUUGACGGGGGCUCACACAAGCGGUGGAGCAUGUGGCUUAAUUCGAAGCAACGCGAAGAACCUUAUCCUGGGUUUGACAUGUAUGGAUUAACUCCGUGAAAGCGGAGCCACGCCUUCGGGUGGAACAUACACAGGUGCUGCAUGGCUGUCGUCAGCUCGUGCUGUGAAGUGUCGGGUUAAGUCCCUUAACGAGCGAAACCCCUGCCGCUAGUUACUAACACGUUAUGGUGAGGUGAGGACUCUAACGAGACUGCCGGUGUCAAACCGGAGGAAGGUGGGGAUGACGUCAAGUCCUCAUGGCCCUUACGACCAGGGCUGCAAACGUGCUACACUGGUAUGGACAGAGCGAUGCAAGACCGCGAGGUGGAGCAAAUCGCGCAAACCAUGCCCCAGUUCGGAUAGCAGGCUGAAAUUCGCCUGCUUGAAGCCGGAAUCGCUAGUAAUCGCGUAUCAGCAUGCGCGGUGAAUACGUUCCCGAGCCUUGUACACACCGCCCGUCACGUCAUGGAAGCUGCUAGUGCCCGAAGUCACCUCAUUUCAGGGGUGCCUACGGCAAGGCUGGU